rnacentral:rRNA from 1 species
CGCCGCGUGGAGGAUGAAGACUUUCGGGUCGUAAACUCCUUUCGGACCGAGAUGAAUUCCCUCCGGCCUAAUACGCCGGAGGGGUGACAGUAUCGAGGGAAGAAGCCCCCGGCUAACUCUGUGCCAGGCAGCCGCGGUAAUACAGGGGGGGCGAGCGUUGUUCGGAAUUACUGGGCGUAAAGGGUUUGUAGGUGGCUUGUUAAGUCAGACGUGAAAUCCCUCAGCUUAACUGGGGAACUGCGUCUGAUACUGGCGAGCUUGAGUGCAGGAGAGGAACGCGGAAUUCCAGGUGUAGCGGUGAAAUGCGUAGAUAUCUGGAGGAACACCGGUGGCGAAGGCGGCGUUCUGGACUGCAACUGACACUGAGAAACGAAAGCCAGGGGAGCAAACGGGAUUAGAUACCCCGGUAGUCCUGGCCCUAAACGAUGAAUGCUUGGUGUGGCGGGUAUCGAUCCCUGCCGUGCCGAAGUUAACGCGUUAAGCAUUCCGCCUGGGGAGUACGGUCGCAAGGCUG